rnacentral:lncRNA from 1 species
CCAGGACUUUAUGAAAGAAAAAGCAAUGAUGGUAAAUCUCUAGACUAUCAUCCACUUUCUGGGAUUCCUGCCUCGAAAACGUGAUGUUUGAUUUCCAAAUACAAGCCAGAGUGUACAUGGUUCCCAAGUGUACUAAGUAGGUGAGAAGCUGAAAUCCUAAAAUAUUCAUCCUCCAACUUUCUCCAGUGUGUAGUCUAUCUUUGGCUCAUCAAGAAUGUAGUGCAGUCUUGGAGUUCCCGUCGUGGCUCAGUGGUUAAGGAAUCCGACUAGGAACCAUGGGGUUUCGGGUUCAAUCCCUGGCCUUGCCCAGUGGGUUGGGGAUCUGGCGUUGCCGUGAGCUGUGGUGUAGGUCACAGAUGCAGCUCGGAUCCCGUGUUGCUGUGGCUCUGGAGUAGGCUGGUGGCUACAGCUCCGAUUCGACCCCUAGCCUGGGAACCUCCAUAUGCCGCGGGAGCGGCCCAAGAAAUAACAAAAAGACAAAAAAUAAAAAAACAAAACAAAACAAACAAACAAACAAAAAAAUGUGGUGCAAUGAGUUCCCGUUGUGGCUCAGUGGUAAUGAACUCGAUUAGUAUCCAUAAAGAUGCAAGUUCGAUCCCUGGCCUCACUCAGUGGGUUAAGGAUUUGGCUUUGCCCUGAGCUGUGGUGUAGUUCACAGAUGAGGCUUGGAUCUGGUGUUGCUGUGCCUGUGGCGUAGGGCAGCAGUUACAGCUCCAGUUCAAUACCUAGCCUGGGAACUUCCAUAUGCCAUGGGUACAGCCCUAAAAAGAUAAAAAGAUUAAAAAAAAAAAAAAAAAGAAUGUGGUGUAGUGGGUUAAGGAUCUGGUGUUGUCUUUGCAGCAGCAUGGGUUUGAUCCCCGGCCCGGAGCAGUGGGUUAAGGAGCAGGCAUUGCCACAGCUGUGUCAUAGGUUGCAGCUGAAGCUGUCCUGGGAACUUCCAUAUGUCACAGUGCACCGCCCCCCCCAAAAGAAUGGCCUGAACAAUCACUAUGGUGACAUUAAUUUUUAUCUGCAGCUCUCUGAGCUCGUCUCUGUGCAGCAGAAUUUGAGCAGCUUUAUGAGAAUGCAUUUCCUGUGUCAAAACCAAGAAGAUGAUCAUCUAAAGCAACAGGCAAACCUUCUUUUGUUUCAUCUGCUCCAGCAGCUGCAUCCUGUGUCAGGAACUCCUGGACCACCAUAUGAAUUGCCUCAACGGUUACCAGUGUAGCUGGCAGGGUUGCAGUGGUACUGGCUUCUGGCUUGGUCCCCCAGACUUCCACCAGGAGAGGAGAGGCGUGGAGUGAGAGAGGCAGGCACCAACCACGUGCUGAGAGGAGCCUGUUUAUUCUUUGCCUUCCUCAACUCGCGUGAGUUUCACCUCUGCUCCUUCUAAGAUUUCCCCUUUUUAGCAGGAUACCAGUCAUGUUGGAUUAGGGCCCACUCUAGUGAUCUCUUUUAAACCUGAUUACCUCUGGAAAGACCCUAUCUCCAAAUGAGGACACCCUGUGAGUACUGCAGUCUCCUUUGCAGGCAGAGGUGUCAGAUGACACACGGGCUUAGGAUUUCUUGGAUGUUUUGCUUUUCUGACAGUUUCCUCCUAUUUGCGCCCCCUUGUUCUGCUUCUCUGGAACAUAGUGGUGGUGCUGGAGUUGUACUAGCCUGUGGAUGACCAGGACGCACAGAGAGGAGGACGAUGAUGUGAAGAGACAGAGAGCCACAGGGAGAACACAGAGGCGGAAAUUAGAGACAUGCAGCAGCAAACCAAGGAACACAAGAACUGAUGGCCUCACCAGAAGCCAAGAGAAAGUAGGAAGUUGUACCCAGAGUCUCAGAAGGAGUGUGGCCCUGCUGACACCAUGAUUUUGGACUUCUAGCCUCCAGAACUGUGAGCAAAUACAUUUCUGUUAUUUAAGAUGCUAAAUUUGUGGUACUUUGUUACAGCAGCCUCAGGGUACUUAUACCCACCCUAAUGCAUUCACUUUCUCCUCUGGGUCUCCAGACUCUGUUUUGAUGUAAGAGCCUCUUAACCGGUCCCUCAGCUUCCAGUGUUACUUCCUUUCCAUUCCUGCUCCAUGAAACAGCUUGAAUGAGCUUUCUUUGUAUUUUGUAUUAAUUUUUAAAAAAAUUUUGGCCACGCCCAUAGUAUUUAGAACUUCCUGGGCCAGGGAUUGAACCUGAGCCAUGGCAGUGACAAUGCUGAAUCCCUAACUGCUAGGCUGCUAGGGAACUCCUAUUUAUUCACGUACAGUUGAUGUAUAAUUUGUGUUAACUUCUGCUGUACGACACAGUGAUUUGGGUUUAUAAUAUAGAUAUUCUUUUAAAAAAUAUUCUUUUGCAUGAUGGUUUAUCAUAGGAUAUCAUAUAGUGCAGUUCCCCGUGCUAUACAGUAGGACCUUGUUGUUUAUCCAUUCUAUAUAUAAUAACUUACAUCUAACCCCGACCUCCCACUUCAGCCCUCCGCCAGCCCCCUCCUUCUUGACAACCACAAGUCUGUUCUUCAUGUCCACAAAUCUGUGUCUAUAUGAAUGAGCUUGCUAAAGCUCAAAUUACUGUCCUGUUUACACACGUUUCAAUGGCUUCCUGAUAUUCUAAAGAUAAAUUCUGAACUCCUUACCUGAUAGCAAAAGGCCGUAUGUGCCUCUCCAGCAUCAAUUAGUCUCGCGCUUUGCAGCUACUUUCCGUGCCUGCAAUUCCACCAUUGUUCCUACCCUGUUUGACCUCUCGGCUUUCAUUCUCAUUAGAGGUCUUUUCUCCUGAGAAGCCAUCCUCGACUCUCCUGAUAGCGGUAUCACCCUUGCUGCAUGCUCUCUGAAAGUCUGGUUCUCUCUCCAUCAGAGCACAGAUCCCAUUUGUUACACUGCCUGCCUGGUUGUCUGUCUGCCUUCCUAUUCUGUAAGCUCCUGGGAGAGGGACUGUCUCCUCCAGCACGAUAGCAUCAGUGACCAACUGUGACUGCCCCAUUUCAGAUGCUCACUAUAGUGGAUUGAUGGGAACUGCUUUCCCCUGAGCUCCAGAUUUUGCAAGAUUUUAACUACUAAACAGUUUAUUACUUAAGUUAACCUUGUGGGGUUUAUCGGGGGUAUCCAUGCAUGAUUUUCUUUCCUUUAUUUCUUCCUCCCUCCCUCCCUCUCUCUCUUGCUUUCUUUCUGUCUUUCUUCCUGGCCACCCCAUGGCAUACAGAGUUCCCAAGACAGGGAUCAGAUCUGAGCUGCAGUUGUGAGCUGUGUUCCAGAGACACUGCCGAUCCUGUUACACGACACUCCUUUUUUUAAAAAAAAAUUUGAAAAUUGUUUUAAGAACUUCCAAGCUGUUUUCUUUUUGAGGAAUAACCCCGAGCCUAACAAUCCUGGUUUUCAAAUCUAGUCCAUCUCCUUCCAUUUCACAGAUAAGGAAACCGAGGCCCAGAGAGGGCAGAUGACUUGUCUAAGGUUGAAGUGGGUUGGUAAGGUCCCCAGGCUAAAACCCAACUUUUCUGAAUUCCAUCCAGGAUUUUCUCUGCUCUUUCACGAUAGCUAAGCCAGAUGUAUAUUGAUGUAAUGCUUAACAACCAGCUCUCUCGGGGGAGAAAAGAGCAUUGAUUUGUAACAUUUGUCAGUUUCUAUGAUAGGCAGGCUUUCACUUUGGCUAAUUUCAAGCUACCUAUGUGAAGUCACUGACCAUGAGCCUUGGUUCCAAUAGACUCCAAAUUUCAUGCGCUCUGCUUUCUUAAAUGUCUGUAGUGUUGGAGGCUCCAGCCCCAGCCCCCAAAAGUGGCUAUUGCCAGAACAUGCUAAAUUCUGGCAAUGAAAUGAUGUAAAAGGCUAUAAAUAAAAAUAAAAGAUCCCAAAGGAAUGAC